rnacentral:Y_RNA from 1 species
GGCUGGUCCAAUGGUAGUGGGUUAUCAGAACUUAUUAACAUUAGUGUCACUAAAGUUGGUAUUCAACCCCCCACAGCUAAAUUUGACUGGCUUAAA